rnacentral:lncRNA from 1 species
AUCAUGAUUUUAUGCUUCAGGUCAGAAUCGUUAGGAACGCAAAGUCUAGAAUUGACUCGAAGUAUUCCUUCUUCAUCGAUUCUUGCUUCUGGAAUAGCACCUUCUUGCACUUUCUUCUUCAUUUGUAUCAGCCCCAGGUCCGUAGCUUGAGCAGCUUUAACUUUAUCAAUUAAAGUCAGUUCUACUCGUAUAUUCGCCAUCAUCAUGUGGGACCCUGGAG